AUCAAAGUUUUAUUUUUCAUGGAAAAUUUUACAAAUACAUUCAAUUAAAUUUAAUGUUAUACAAAUCAUUUAAUCAAUUUCAAUACGUACUUCAUAAUUAUAUAAUAUAAAUUUGAAUCUACAGAGUACAAACAUACAAAUUGUUAUAGUUUAUUUUACCAUGCUCUUGCAUGGUACUACAGUAACUCGGUCACAACUGGUUAAUGCCCAAUUUAUAGUAGAGAUAGAUCAUCGUUCCGUCUGUAGUACAAAUAUGGCCUACUUCGCAGCCUUAUGUCUCCAAUAAGAACUGCGAAGGAUACCAGUAGAAAUCAAGGCAUUUUUAUAAGGAAAAUAUUAUUCCAGUUGCACGCGGAGCUCAGGGGUUAGUUGUUCGAAAGUCGAUCGGCGUAAUCCUAGGUUAACCUAAAAUUCAAAGCAAACUUCCGAACGGCUUGUUUAUAAAUUUGGAAAUAUUUCUUUAGGCGUAUCAGUACGCGUUUUCUUCUCUGAAAUAAACAGACGUGCAGAUAGGGUACAUAAACUAAAACAGCAGGUUAAAUUUUAACCGAGGGUUAGUGCUAAUUUAGCUUUGAACAACCGACCCCAGAUAUAUAAAUCAGGGCGGGGAAAUGUUAAAAAGAGAGUUAUAAACGUUUCUGUGAUCAAAGUAGGGAUUUUCGUUAGGUAAUUCUACGUUUUGAAGGAUUUCUAAGAAAUAUUUGCGGAAACUGACUUAGUGUUUAACACUGAAGCCCCGUUUACACUACGCUCGAUUUUUGGUACUGUAAUACUAAAUACUUAAAUAGGUAGUCCAAGAACCAAAAAAAGUGGUAAGGGUACCAAUUUUAUCCGUGCCGUACCAAAAAUUGAGCGUAGUGUAAACGGGGCUUGAGUCCAUUGCUUCAAACAUUUCUUACAAAUCUUAGAAUUUACCUAUGCAAAAUUCCUACUGUGGUCACAGAAACUUUAGCCGUGUUUACACUACGAGCCUAAGCCUGGCCUAGGCCAACCUUUGGACUAGAUUUUUGUAGUCUAAACGCACUUCGGCCUGGCCUAGCCCUGGAAAUCUGGGCCCAUCAAAACAGGUGGUCCAGAUUUCCUGGCCUAGGCCAGGCCGAAGUGCGUUUACACUACAAAAAUCACGUCCAAAGGUAGGCCCAGGCCAGGCUUAGGCUCGUAGUGUCAACACGGCUUUUGAUUGUGUGAAACCAGCCUUAACAUGACUUGAUCACGUGACUAAAUGUAAACGAGGCUUGUCUCAACAAUAAUUCCACAACCUAAACUCUAGGUCCACUUUUAUCGUUCGUUUGAGCCGCCUUCAAGUUGUUUUUCUUAAAUGAAGUAAUUGAGCUCAACAGAUCACCUCUGCUUUUGGUCUGGGGAGGAGCGCCAUUUUUGGUGACCGCAGGUGGUGGUUGGGGUGCAGGGGGUGGGGCGGGGACUGAGGGGGCACUUGAUGCACCAUAGUUGUCUACUGAUUGAGCUUUUCCUGAAAAAUAUUGAUAAUGUUCGUAUUAAAAAAGCCAGUGUUAAUUCGUAAGCAAAAACUAGUAUGGUCAGUGAAAUAUGAACUAAAGCUUAGCUAAGGCAGUGCGUGCAUACUAAUUCUACUAUUAGUAUUAACCAAUGAGUUCUCUUUAUAUAUCUGGAUCGAGAAUUUGUGUCGUUCGGCCUAUAGAAAAGUGAAGCCAGGAUGGAGGCCAUUGACGUCGAAUAGCUAUGAAAGGUUAUUUCGCUGACCUCAGAAUAACAUUUCGUCAAAACUUUUUUCUUCAACAUUGGUUUAGAAACAAACUUGGAGUAGGGUUCGGAUUAGAGUUAUUAUUUGGAAUAGGGUUAGUAUUAGUAAAACCAUUGCUUUGUUACGUUUUGUCACUCUGAGGCCAGCGAAAUAACCUCUUCCCAUGACAGUUGCAAACAGUUUUCAUACCAU
rnacentral:lncRNA from 1 species